AUUGAACGCUAGCGGGAUGCUUUACACAUGCAAGUCGAACGAGUGGCGGACGGGUGAGUAAUAUAUCGGAACGUGCCCAGUAGCGGGGGCUAACUACUCGAAAGAGUGGCUAAUACCGCAUACUAUUUGAGCGGCCGAUAUCGGAUUAGCUAGUUUGUGGGGUAAAGGCUCACCAAGGCAACGAUCCGUAGCUGGUUUGAGAGGACGACGAGCAGCACUGGGACUGAGACACGGCCCAGACUCCUACGUGAGGCAGCAGUGGCGAAUUUUGGAAGAUAGGGGAAACCCUGAUCCAGCCAUCCCGCGUGUAUGAGAAGGCCUUCGGGUUGUAGAGUACUUUUGGCAGAGAAGCGGUAUCUGCAGAAUAAGCACCGGCUAACUACGUUCCAGCAGCCGCGGUAAUUC
rnacentral:rRNA from 1 species